rnacentral:rRNA from 1 species
UACGUAGGGGGCAAGCGUUGUCCGGAUUUAUUGGGCGUAAAGAGCGUGUAGGCGGCCUGGUAAGUCCGCUGUAAAAGUCAAAGGCUCAACCUUUGAAUGUCAGUGGAUACUGCCGGGCUAGAGUCCGGAAGAGGCGAGUGGAACUCCUGGUGUAGCGGUGGAAUGCGCAGAUAUCAGGAAGAACACCAACGGCGAAGGCAGCUCGCUAGGACGGUACUGACGCUGAGACGCGAAAAGCGUGGGGAGCGAACAGG